rnacentral:rRNA from 1 species
UAAUACAGAGGUGGCAAGCGUUGUUCGGAUUUAUUGGGCGUAAAGGGUCCGUAGGCGGUUUGAAAAGUCAGAUGUGAAAUCCCACAGCUCAACUGUGGAACUGCAUUUGAAACUUUCAGACUAGAGUAUGAGAGGGGUUAAGGGAAUUCCCGGUGUAAGGGUGAAAUCUGCAGAGAUCGGGAGGAACACCAGUCGCGAAGGCGCUUAACUGGCUCAUUACUGACGCUCAGGGACGAAAGCUAGGGUAGCAAACGGGAUUAGAUACCCCGGUAGUCCUAGCCGUAAACUAUGGUCACUAGGUGUUGGAGGGGUUAAACCCUUCGGUGCCGUCGCUCACGCAUUAAGUGACCCGCCUGGGGAGUACGGUCGCAAGGCUG